AUGAACGCUAGCGGCAGGCUUAACACAUGCAAGUCGAGGGGCAGCACGAGGUAGCAAUACUUUGGUGGCGACCGGCGCACGGGUGCGUAACGCGUAUGCAACCUACCUUUAACAGGGGCAUAACACUGAGAAAUUGGUACUAAUUCCCCAUAACAUUCGAGAAGGCAUCUUCUUGGGUUAAAAACUCCGGUGGUUAAAGAUGGGCAUGCGUUGUAUUAGCUAGUUGGUGAGGUAACGGCUCACCAAGGCAACGAUACAUAGGGGGACUGAGAGGUUAACCCCCCACAUUGGUACUGAGACACGGACCAAACUCCUACGGGAGGCAGCAGUGAGGAAUAUUGGUCAAUGGACGCAAGUCUGAACCAGCCAUGCCGCGUGCAGGAAGACGGCUCUAUGAGUUGUAAACUGCUUUUGUACUAGGGUAAACGCUUCUACGUGUAGGAGCCUGAAAGUAUAGUACGAAUAAGGAUCGGCUAACUCCGUGCCAGCAGCCGCGGUAAUACGGAGGAUCCAAGCGUUAUCCGGAUUUAUUGGGUUUAAAGGGUGCGUAGGCGGUUUGAUAAGUUAGAGGUGAAAUACCGGGGCUCAACUCCGGAACUGCCUCUAAUACUGUUGAACUAGAGAGUAGUUGCGGUAGGCGGAAUGUAUGGUGUAGCGGUGAAAUGCUUAGAGAUCAUACAGAACACCGAUUGCGAAGGCAGCUUACCAAACUAUAUCUGACGUUGAGGCACGAAAGCGUGGGGAGCAAACAGGAUUAGAUACCCUGGUAGUCCACGCAGUAAACGAUGAUAACUCGUUGUCGGCGAUACACAGUCGGUGACUAAGCGAAAGCGAUAAGUUAUCCACCUGGGGAGUACGUUCGCAAGAAUGAAACUCAAAGGAAUUGACGGGGGCCCGCACAAGCGGAGGAACAUGUGGUUUAAUUCGAUGAUACGCGAGGAACCUUACCCGGGCUUGAAAGUUAGUGACGAUUCUGGAAACAGGAUUUCCCUUCGGGGCACGAAACUAGGUGCUGCAUGGUUGUCGUCAGCUCGUGCCGUGAGGUGUCGGGUUAAGUCCCAUAACGAGCGCAACCCCUACCGUUAGUUGCCAUCAGGUCAAGCUGGGCACUCUGGCGGGACUGCCGGUGUAAGCCGAGAGGAAGGUGGGGAUGACGUCAAAUCAUCAUGCCCCUUAUGAGCAGGGCUACACACGUGCUACAAUGGCGUAAACAAAGGGAAGCGAGACCGCGAGGUGGAGCAAAUCCCAAAAAUAACGUCUCAGUUCGGAUUGUAGUCUGCAACUCGACUACAUGAAGCUGGAAUCGCUAGUAAUCGCGAAUCAGAAUGUCGCGGUGAAUACGUUCCCGGGCCUUGUACACACCGCCCGUCAAGCCAUGGAAGCUGGGGGUGCCUGAAGUUCGUGACCGCAAGGAGCGACCUAGGGCAAAACCGGUGACUGGGGCU
rnacentral:rRNA from 1 species